rnacentral:misc_RNA from 1 species
UCCGAGUUGACCCCGGCAGUCUCCCACGAGUCCCCGGCAUAACCCGCUGGCAACAUGGGACAAGGGUUGCGCUCGUUGCGGGACUUAACCCAACAUCUCACGACACGAGCUGACGACAGCCAUGCAGCACCUAUCACAGGCCCCGAAGGACACCACAUCUCUGUGGCUUUUCCUGCGUAGUUCAAUCCAGGUAAGGUUCUUCGCGUUGCCUCGAAUUAAGCAACAUGCUCCGCCGCUUGUGCGGGCCUCCGUCAAUUCCUUUGAGUUUUAGCCUUGCGGCCGUACUCCCCAGGCGGGGAACUUAAUGCGUUAGCUGCGGCACGGACCACGUGGAAUGUGACCCACACCUAGUUCCCAACGUUUACGGCGUGGACUAC